rnacentral:rRNA from 1 species
UGGGGAAUCUUGCGCAAUGGGGGAAACCCUGACGCAGCGACGCCGCGUGCGGGAUGAAGGCCUUCGGGUUGUAAACCGCUUUCAGCAGGGACGAGGCCUUAUGGUGACGGUACCUGCAGAAGAAGCUCCGGCUAAAUACGUGCCAGCAGCCGCGGUAAUACGUAUGGAGCAAGCGUUAUCCGGAUUCAUUGGGCGUAAAGCGCUCGUAGGCGGUCUGUUAGGUCGGCAAGUUAAAUCCGGGGGCUCAACCCCCGUCCGCUUCCGAUACCGGCAGACUUGAGUUUUGUAGGGGAAGGUGGAAUUCCUAGUGUAGCGGUGGAAUGCGCAGAUAUUAGGAAGAACACCGGUGGCGAAGGCGGCCUUCUGGGCCAUAACUGACGCUGAGGGGCGAAAGCUAGGGGAGCGAACAGG